rnacentral:rRNA from 1 species
CCCGCUGAACUUAAGCAUAUCAAUAAGCGGAGGAAAAGAAACUAACAAGGAUUCCCCUAGUAACGGCGAGUGAAGAGGGAAGAGCUCAAAUUUUGAAUCUGGCACCUUUGGUGUCCGAAUUGUAAUCUAGAGAAGUGUUUUCUGUGAUGGACCAUGCAUAAGUCUCCUGGGAUGGAGCGUCAUAGAGGGUGAGAAUCCCGUAUAUGGCAUGGACUCCCGUUGCUCUGUGAUACACUCUCGACGAGUCGAGUUGUUUGGGAAUGCAGCUCCAAAUGGGUGGUAAAUGCCAUCUAAAGCUAAAUAUUGGCGAGAGACCGAUAGCGAACAAGUACCGUGAGGGAAAGAUGAAAAGCACUUUGGAAAGAGAGUGAAACAGUACGUGAAAUUGUUGAAAGGGAAACGCUUGAAGUCAGUCACACCGUUCGGGAUUCAGCCUUGCUUCUGCUCGGUUUACUUCCCUGUUGGGUGGGUCAACAUCAGUUUUGGUCAGAGGAGAAAUGCUUGGGGAAUGGGGCAGCAUUCGUGGUGGGGUAAAACCCCCUGGUGUAAUCCUUGGACGGGGAUGAAGGCCGCCACCACGCCUUUGGCCGGGGUUGCGCCCACGUACGUGCUUAGGAUGUUGGCAUAAUGGUUUUAAGCGACCCGUCUUGAAACACCG